UACGUACAAGCAGUGGGAGCCUCUCUUUAUGGGGGGUGACUGCGUACCUUUUGUAUAAUGGGUCAGCGACUUAUAUUCUGUAGCAAGGUUAACCGCAUAGGGGAGCCGAAGGGAAACCGAGUCUUAAUUGGGCGUUAAGUUGCAGGGUAUAGACCCGAAACCCGGUGAUCUAGCCAUGGGCAGGUUGAAGGUUGGGUAACACUAACUGGAGGACCGAACCGACUAAUGUUGAAAAAUUAGCGGAUGACCUGUGGCUGGGGGUGAAAGGCCAAUCAAACCGGGAGAUAGCUGGUUCUCCCCGAAAGCUAUUUAGGUAGCGCCUCGUGAACUCAUCUCCGGGGGUAGAGCACUGUUUCGGCUAGGGGGCCAUCCCGGCUUACCAACCCGAUGCAAACUGCGAAUACCGGAGAAUGUUAUCACGGGAGACACACGGCGGGUGCUAACGUCCGUCGUGAAGAGGGAAACAACCCAGACCGCCAGCUAAGGUCCCAAAGUCAUGGUUAAGUGGGAAACGAUGUGGGAAGGCCCAGACAGCCAGGAUGUUGGCUUAGAAGCAGCCAUCAUUUAAAGAAAGCGUAAUAGCUCACUGGUCGAGUCGGCCUGCGCGGAAGAUGUAACGGGGCUAAACCAUGCACCGAAGCUGCGGCAGCGACACUGUGUGUUGUUGGGUAGGGGAGCGUUCUGUAAGCCGUUGAAGGUGUCCUGUGAGGGGUGCUGGAGGUAUCAGAAGUGCGAAUGCUGACAUAAGUAACGAUAAAGCGGGUGAAAAGCCCGCUCGCCGGAAGACCAA
rnacentral:rRNA from 1 species